rnacentral:lncRNA from 1 species
GAUCAACGUUUAGAGAAGGUAUUAAAACACAUGUAAUUCUAACAGUUGAAGACAAUAGAAUUAUGAAAAAUCAAUUCAAAAAGUUAGGAGAAAUUGAAGGAGAUCUAGGAUAUACAACAAUAAAGUUUUGUGUAUCUCUUCAGUUCCCUAUACCACUAAGCACAAAGAAAAUAAACAAUUGUCUAGGAAUAAUUUGUAAUUUCCUAGAAAAAGAUUUAAUUGAAAAAGGCGAUAUCCCUUUAGUAAUAUGCUAAAGGAUAGCCUAUGCAUUAAGUAAUUCUUGUUUAAGUUUAACUUACAAGAAUCGGAAAAAUAUUUAUACAGAAAAAUUAUUUAGUGAAACCAGUACAUUAAUAAAAAAUGAUGAAGUAUCAAGAGAGUUUCUUAGAAGCCAUAGUUCAUGAAACUUAACCUUUAAAAUAGAACAAAGUAAUUUAUUACCAAGUUCUAGUCAAAUAAGUAGACCAACAAGCAAGAAGACAUUAUUUGAAGAAGAUCAAGAAAUAAGAAAAAUGAAUAAGCAGAUAGGUGAAUUAAACAGAUUAGUUUCAAAUAAAGAAGACCACGAAAUAAGAAAAGUGAAUAAGCAGAUAGGCGAAUUAAACAGACUAGUUUCAAAUCUAAGCAAUAAGAUAUAAAAUGGAAAGAUUAAUAAUACAAAAUGUAGAUUUAAAACAAGGAAUAAAGAAAUUAGAAGAUGAAAAUAAAGAGCAACAUGAUUUAAUGCUAGCAAGGGAUAAAGUAAUCAAAAAGCAAGAAGAAUUUGUAAUACAUCUAUUAAAAAUAAUAGAUAGAUUACACAAAGAAUUAGAUAGACAGGCAGACUUAGUAAUUGAGUCUCCUAACACGAUAAGCAAACUAGUGCUUUAAAACUAUCCCCACAAUUGAUAUCAGAGCAAGGAUUAGAUUUUAAAGAAUAUAAAUAAUAAAAUAAUGUCAAAAGAAGAUAAUUUAAAAAAUCCAUUUAGGAAAGAUACACAGAAUGAACAAAUAUAUACAUCAGAAGCAAAUAUUAGAGCAUUCUUACCAAUAAAACAAAAAUCUUACCCAUUAAAUAAAAAUAUAAAAGAAACAGAGUUUUGUAUCUCUGCAGGAAAAGAAAUAUAUGAACAGAAUAUAAGUAGAAAUUUACAAACAAUUAUUAGAAUACAAAACAAUUAAAUAGAAAUAUUAGCAUACAUUUGUAAAGUAUUAUUUGAAGGCCUUAUAGAACCCAAUAAGAAAAUUCCUAUAGCAAUCAGUAAUCUUUCAGAAAGAAUAAGGAUAUAAACAGAGAGAAAGAUAAUCCUAAAAAACUAGAAGAGUCUAGUAGACUUGAAGGACAAUUAGUUGAAGUCAAUACUAAGUUAACUCAAAUAUUAGGAAAAAUAUAAUGAAUGAAUCGCCAAGAGUUUCAGAACAAAUAAAUACACUAAUAGAAUUAGUUAAACAAAAUAUGGAAACACAAAACGAGGUUAUAAAUAGUUUAAAAGAAAUUAAAAAACCUAAAGAAAAUAAGUAUAAAUACCAAGAACUUAUACAUUACCUUAAAGAAAAAGGUAAAAGAGAAGAAACAUCUAAUAGUACAUAACAAGUGUGCAUAGAUAAAGAACAAGCUUUAGAUUUAUUACAAGAAACUGUUAAAGCUGAAACCAAAAAGAAGUGUUUAACAGAAGAAGAACUUAAAAAGUAUUUUAGGAAAGAACUAAAGCCUAAAAUAACAAUGGUAGAACCUACAGGAUUACCAUCUAGAGAAAAAACAUCAUGGAUGAAAUUCAAAGGUUAACUGAAUUUACGGAAGCACGCCACACAAUGGCACCUCUCAGUAUGCAACCUGGACUGCGUGGUUAUACAGUACGAUUCCAGGCAUCCCCUACGGAGAUCCAUGGUUCGGGCAUAAGUCCCGUGGCAGAUGCUCGGGGCUUUUCAUUAGGAUUAUUUGUAUUGUAUUGAUAUGCAUGUAUCCUAUCUUACUUCUAUCUUCGCCUUUAAUAGUUGCUAAUCUUUUUCCAAUUUGAUUUAUAUCAACUAGCGAUGCUUGAAACUUAGUAGUUGCCUGUUCUAUUUUAACAGGUUGUUCUCCUUGCAUAAUACCAUAAUAUAUAAUAUAUUUU